rnacentral:rRNA from 1 species
GUGGGGAAUCUUCCGCAAUGGACGAAAGUCUGACGGAGCAACGCCGCGUGAGUGAAGAAGGUUUUCGGAUCGUAAAGCUCUUUCGUUAGGGACGAACGUGCUCUUUGUGAAUAAUGAGGAGUAAUGACGGUACCUAAAUAAGAAGCCACGGCUAACUACGUGCCAGCAGCCGCGGUAAUACGUAGGUGGCAAGCGUUGUCCGGAAUUAUUGGGCGUAAAGCGCGCGCAGGCGGGAUAUCAAGUCUGUCUUAAAAGUGCGAGGCUCAACCUCGUGAGGUGACAGAAACUGGUAUUCUUGAGUGUCGGAGAGGAAAGUGGAAUUCCAAGUGUAGCGGUGAAAUGCGUAGAGAUUUGGAAGAACACCAGUGGCGAAGGCGACUUUCUGGACGAUGUCUGACGCUGAGGCGCGAAAGCUAGGGGAGCGAACGGGAUUAGAUACCCGUGUAGUCC